rnacentral:rRNA from 1 species
AUUAGUGGCGAACGGGUGAGUAACACGUGGGCAAUCUGCCCUGCACUCUGGGACAAGCCCUGGAAACGGGGUCUAAUACCGGAUACGACCACUGAGGGCAUCCUCGGUGGUGGAAAGCUCCGGCGGUGCAGGAUGAGCCCGCGGCCUAUCAGCUUGUUGGUGGGGUGAUGGCCUACCAAGGCGACGACGGGUAGCCGGCCUGAGAGGGCGACCGGCCACACUGGGACUGAGACACGGCCCAGACUCCUACGGGAGGCAGCAGUGGGGAAUAUUGCACAAUGGGCGAAAGCCUGAUGCAGCGACGCCGCGUGAGGGAUGACGGCCUUCGGGUUGUAAACCUCUUUCAGCAGGGAAGAAGCGAAAGUGACGGUACCUGCAGAAGAAGCGCCGGCUAACUACGUGCCAGCAGCCGCGGUAAUACGUAGGGCGCGAGCGUUGUCCGGAAUUAUUGGGCGUAAAGAGCUCGUAGGCGGCUUGUCACGUCGGUUGUGAAAGCCCGGGGCUUAACCCCGGGUCUGCAGUCGAUACGGGCAGGCUAGAGUUCGGUAGGGGAGAUCGGAAUUCCUGGUGUAGCGGUGAAAUGCGCAGAUAUCAGGAGGAACACCGGUGGCGAAGGCGGAUCUCUGGGCCGAUACUGACGCUGAGGAGCGA